rnacentral:rRNA from 1 species
UACAUGGGGUGCAAACGUUGCUCGGAAUUAUUGGGCGUAAAGCGCACGUAGGCGGUUCGUUAAGUCGGAUGUGAAAGCCCUCGGCUCAACUGAGGAAGUGCACCCGAAACUGGCGAGCUUGAGUACGAAAGAGGAUCGCGGAAUUCCCGGUGUAGAGGUGAAAUUCGUAGAUAUCGGAAGGAACACCUGUGGCGAAAAGCGGCUCACUGGACCAUUACUGACGCUGAGGCACGAAAGCUAGGGGAGCAAACAGG